GUGUAAGUAUGAACAAAUUCAGACUGUGAAACUGCGAAUGGGUCAUUAAAUCAGUUAUAGUUUGUUUGAUGGUAUCUACUACUCGGAUAAUCGUAGUAAUUCUAGAGCUAAUACGUGCAACUAAAUCCGACUUCUGGAAGGGAUACAUUUAUUAGAUAAAAGGUCGACGUGGGCUCUGCCUGUUGCUAUGGUGAUUCAUGAUAACCCGACGAAUUGCACGGCCAUCGUGCCGGCGACGCAUGAUUCAAAUUUUUGUCCUUAUAAC
rnacentral:ncRNA from 1 species